rnacentral:rRNA from 1 species
ACGAAGGGUGCAAGCGUUAAUCGGAAUUACUGGGCGUAAAGGGUGCGUAGGCGGUUCGUUAAGUCAGAGGUGAAAUCCCGGGGCUCAACCCCGGAACUGCCUUUGAAACUGGAGAGCUAGAAUCUUGGAGAGGCGAGUGGAAUUCCGAGUGUAGAGGUGAAAUUCGUAGAUAUUCGGAAGAACACCAGUGGCGAAGGCGACUCGCUGGACAAGUAUUGACGCUGAGGUGCGAAAGCGUGGGGAGCAAACAGGA